UUCAGAGAGCAGAAGUCACCUUACCAUUUCUAAUUUAACCAACCCAUGACCAUCAACACUGUUGGCCUACCUCUUCCAAAAUGGGAUCCUGUUCCUGCAGUGAGAAAGUGGCUACGAGAACAGCAUCACUCAGCCGAUGAUCCAGACUCAAGAUCAAGAAAAGUGGAAGUGAGGAGAGCGCCAAUGAAAAAUCGAUGUGGAAACAUCUUAAAGUGAAAAACCACUAACAUUUUUAUGUGAUUAUUAUCAUUGGUGCUUUUAUUGCUCUUAGGUCAUAAGGGCAAAGAAGUGAUGGUGACUUGGCCAUGCGCACCUGGUCACAUGACCAUCAAGCCACACCCCAACAAACCACG